UGUGAAUGCACAUAUUGAUGAAUUAGUAAAUUUACCCACAGUACGAGGGUCCUCCUAUGAAAAGAUCUUGGCUUUCUACGAACAUUUGAGCAAGAACUAUGACGCCCUACAGACUCUCGGUGAACAUGAGAAAUUAGAUGGAUUUGUGAUGUGUACUAUUAAUAAGUUGCCAAAUGUGAAGUCAGACUUGGUAAGGACUGAUGAAGAUUGGGAAGAAUGGAAAAUGGAGAACUUAGUUGAUAGUCUGCAAAAAUGGUUACGAAGAAACAAAACUGAAGAAGAUAAAUCCAUAGGUGACCCAAGAAGAAGUAAUGGAGGUAAAGAGAACGAAAGAGGAAAAAAGACACCUUGUUGUAUGUUCUGUAAAGCUGAACACUGGAGUGAUAUGUGCAAGUCUUACGUAACCACAGCUCAAAGAAAGGCUUACUUCGGUGAGAACAAUUUAUGCUUCAAUUGCGGUAGCCCGGGACAUAGGGCUAGACAUUGUAGGAGUCGUGGGUGCUAUCA